GAACCGGUUAAACUGACCAGUCGAGAGCCGCCAAACGGCAGAUGCAGACGUUUAUAUUUUAUAAAGGAAAAUAUAUAAAUAAUAACAAAAUGCGUGCAAAAGUUACCCUUUGUGUUGUGCUCGCUUGGUUAAGCUGUGCUCUGGCUUAUCAAAAUCAGAGUUGUAACGAUUGCGUCGGCUACCAAUCUUGUGACGCUGCCGUGGCCCUUCUUAACAUGAAGACGCCAACCGCCGAUAAGAAGUCCCAGAGCGCUUUCUGCGGUUUCGAUGGAGCCAAGCUACCAAUGGUGUGUUGCUCCCAACUCUCGACUAAAUCAACACCUGAUGUGGAAAGCGUGGAAAACCACCCGAACCUCCACCUGCUCCCGGACGCGUGUGGGAAGAUCAACAGAGACGG